rnacentral:rRNA from 1 species
ACGCUCGACACCUACGGGAGGCGGCAGUCGGGAAUAUUGCGCAAUGGAGGAAACUCUGACGCAGUGACGCCGCGUGCAGGAAGAAGGUUUUCGGAUUGUAAACUGCUUUAGACAGGGAAAGAAAAAAGACAGUACCUGUAGAAUAAGCUCCGGCUAACUACGUGUCAGCAGCCGCGGUAAUCUGAGGCGGGCUGGCAAGGC